GCCAGACUCCUACGGGAGGCAGCAGUGAGGAAUAUUGGUCAAUGGGCUUACGCCUGAACCAGCCAAGUCGCGUGAGGGAAGACUGCCCUAUGGGUUGUAAACCUCUUUUGCCGGGGAGCAAGCGUGCGUUCGUGAACGCGCGUCGAGAGUACCCGGAGAAAAAGCGUCGGCUAACUCCGUGCCAGCAGCCGCGGUAAUACGGAGGAUGCGAGCGUUAUCCGGAUUUAUUGGGUUUAAAGGGUGCGCAGGCGGAAGAGCAAGUCAGCGGUAAAAUUGAGAGGCUCAACCUCUUCGAGCCGUUGAAACUGGUUUUCUUGAGUGAGCGAGAAGUAUGCGGAAUGCGUGGUGUAGCGGUGAAAUGCAUAGAUAUCACGCAGAACUCCGAUUGCGAAGGCAGCAUACCGGCGCUCAACUGACGCUCAUGCACGAAAGUGUGGGUAUCGAACAGGAUUAGAUACCCGAGUA
rnacentral:rRNA from 1 species